rnacentral:tRNA from 1 species
CCGCCCUUAGCUCAGCUGGAUAGAGCGUGCCCCUCCGGAGGGCAAGGCCAGAGGUUCGAAUCCUCUAGGGCGGGCCA